ACGGAGAUCUCGCUCCUGUGCUUCCCAGCACUUGCCAGCCUCAGUACUGGCAGGAUGUCACAGAGAAAGUGCGGGAUGAUCGGGUGGCUGCGAAAAGAUAAAGAACCAGAGCUCUGAGGGUUUAAACGACCUAUGCAAGAUCACAAAGUCAGUGAACAGCAGAACCAGAAUUGUAAUUUUGAGCCUGAGCCCACACCACAUAUUGAGAAAACUAGAAGAGAAUGAACUUGGCCAGAGGAGAAUGAAAUGGCUUGAUAUAGAUGAAGAUGCAGCUGCCAUAAGUGAUGGAAACCACAGUAAUAUGUGAAGAACAGUUGUUCAUGUAUUCUAGAGGAAAAGAAAGGAAUAUCAUUAUAUACUGCUUAUGGGAUUCUGUGCUGCGGAGAUCAUUACGGAAGCAACAGUAGCAGGUGGCCUGGCCAUACAGGGAUUCCUUACUCGCAGCAGAGAAUGUUGCUGCCACUCAAAGUCACCAGGGGCUGAAGAGCUCCUGUGGAGACCCACAUCAUCUAACAACACACAUACUCAAAACAGGGAAAUGUGCAUUUUCGGGAGAGGAAGAGACAAACCUUUUGUUUAGCUAACUGGCAUGACAGAGUGUGACAUACAUGUGCUCCUGGAAGAACGGUGUUGGGUGUCUGCACUCAAAAUCUUGAGCAUAGGCAACUGGAUGAAGGGCUCUGUGGCAUUGAUUUUCAUUGUGUGUGUGUUAAUAUUUACAUUUAUAAUUAAAUAAAUAAUCGAAAUUAUGCUGAACUGAAAAAAGAU
rnacentral:lncRNA from 10 species